ensembl:lncRNA
GAUGACACUAGUGUGUUUAAAUUCACAUACUGGAUGUAUGCAGAGUACAUUGUGAACUACAUGGUCUCUCUUGGAAAUGAGAUUUUUAAUCUCAAUGAGAUUUUUACCUGGAUAAAUAAAUAAAGGACUAACAUGAAAGUGCUGUGAUCCAAACUUUUAAACUCUGUGUACACAUGAUACUAUCAGCGUUAAGCACCACAGCCUAAAUAGCUCUGGACACGGAGCUUGCAAUCAUUCAUCCACAAAUAUCAUCAAUUUUCAAAACUUCUGCAUGUGUUUUCGGACUAUAAAUAUCAAGAAGUUGGGCAAAUGUCACAAACAUCUUGUUGAGAAAGAAAAAUCCUCGAAGAAUUAAAAAAAAAACAUUUACGUGGAGCUUCAAGAGGUUUCAUGCAAUUUGAAGAAAAACUGCAAACAAAAAGAUCUUAUUCAAACAUUAUUUAAAUCAUUUUGGUUACAUUUUAGCAUAGCAAGGGUCCAUUGUUCCACUGUAGGCAGAUACACUAUAUGGGCAAAAAUAUUGAUAUAAAAGUAUAAAGUGUAAGAAGUAAAGUGGGUAAAAGUCACCAAUGAUCUGCUGGUUCAAUAACUUCAGAGCUCCAAAUCUCUUCUGGGUUUAACAUCAGCACAAACACUGUGUGCCGGGAGCUUCAUGACACGCGCCUUUAUGGCCUAGCUGCUCCUGUAGGGUUCAUGUGUAGAUUUCCCAGUACUUUUGUCCAUAUAGUGUAUUACAUAGGCAGUAAAAAAGAGAUCUCAGUCAACCCAAGAACAUCUUAGCGAUUCAUACCACCACCUGAUUUACUUUAAUGAGCUGUGUUUGAGUCAAAAUUAUGCUGCAGCGUCCAAUUGUAAAAGAAAAGGAAACUUUUUUUUCCUUCUAAUUUGUGGAAAAUGUAUCCUUAAUAUUUAUUUUGUCAGUCCAACCAUUUUUUUAAAAUCAGCUGUUAAAAAAAACAUGCAAAUAGACAAGUAGACAAACAUCAGAUUUGUAAAUUUUGACACGAAUACAUGCAUUCCUUUUUAUUCACAAAACCAGUCCAAUUUUCUAAACAAAUACAAAGAUUGGUUAUUUUUAAAAGCUGUAGCUACCCAGCAACAUAACUAAAUCAUAAAAAUAUGACAAAUAAACAAAUAAAUUUAAAAAAAAAUGCUUGUCCCAGUGCUUUCAGUAGGGUAGACUCAGAGCAAGUGCUGUCUCUUAGUGCUUUUGCCCUGAGCAGUAUUGGCACAUGCUCAGUAGGGCCACAGUAACAAGGCUGCCAGUUUCACUAAAGGAACAGUUUGGAAAUGCAGAGGAGGGCUGAUUGAGGAGAUUACAGUAGUGACGGCUCUGGCGAACAACAUCUUCAAGCCAGCGAAGAAUCUCAGGUGAUCUGCCCAUUAACAUGACUUUUUUUUCUUUCUUUUUUUUUAAAAGUUUCAUUACAAUCCAAAAUGGACAGCACCACAAUUUGAAACAUUUUCUUGACUGUCAAAGGACAACCACUUAAAUCUUUCUGGAAAGUAAAAUGAAAUCAUAAAGAAGACGAGGGCUUUGAGUAACAUAAUGGUGAAGAAUUACAAUAAUGUUUACCAUUAGCCACUAGUUUUUAAAAUAUAGCUGUAAAUUUACAUUCUCUACACAAGUACUUUAUCUUUCCACACAUGAACAACAUUAACACCAAACACAGAAAUUAGUUGAUUGUCCACACUCAGUCCGUCAUUUCUGUUUCUGGCAAUGAGCAGUUCCAUGUUUAAGCGACAGAAAAAACCUGCUGGGAUAAGGACAAAAGGUACCAAAAUGGAAACAUAGAAAAGGGAAUGAAAGUUGCCAUAGAUGCUUUUCUUUACGUUUUCAUUUUUGGUUCAAGGAAUAAGUAGGUGCAUCCAUUAUCCGGCUGAUUUUUUUCCUCUUUUUUUCUGCUUUUAUUAGUUUAGUUUUUUUGUUUUUUGUUGGGGUUUUUUCUAUAAUUUUAUUUGUUGCUAGCUUGUUUAUUAGCCAGUGUCUGUUCCGGAGACAAUCCAGGAGUUGGCAUUGCACUUCAUGGCAGAGCUUUGGGUAGGGAGCGGAGGAGGAGGAGGAGUCCUACUGGAACCACCGGAACGCCGCUCCUGUAGGAAGCAUCACCUUCUUGGAGAAACAGAAGACAAAGAGGGAGGAAAAAGGGGGGAAGGGGAUGGGAGAGGAGAGGAGCAGAUAGGGGAAGAGCAGAGAGAAGAUGCGGGUGUAGUUGUUAAUGAAAAGCAACACAUUCUAUUUGGCAUUGCAAAGAUAAUGUCAAGUCCACCACUUAACUGCUAAACAUUUUUCGAAACUUGAAAAUCGAGGCGUGUCUAAUGUUUCCCUCCAGUUAACAGAGAGUUCCUCUGCCUCAUUUUUGGGCACCAACCAGUGAUUAGUUAAUGAAACAGUGAUUGCUUAAUGCAUGAAGUAAAAUUGUUUGCUACCAGAGGCCAUAGUGUGACAACUUGUUGAGAUUCAAUUAGCAAUCUC